CGGACGGGUGAGUAACGCGUGGGUAACCUGCCUUACACAAGGGGAUAGCCGUUGGAAACGACGAAUAAUACCCUAUGACAUAAACUCUUCGCAUGAGGAGCUUAUCAAAGAUUUAUCGGUGUAAGAUGGACUCGCGUCUGAUUAGCUAGUUGGUGAGGUAACGGCCCACCAAGGCGACGAUCAGUAGCCGGCUUGAGAGAGUGUACGGCCACAUUGGGACUGAGACACGGCCCAGACUCCUACGGGAGGCAGCAGCC
rnacentral:rRNA from 1 species